AGCGUAAAGGCUGCAUGUGUGCUU
rnacentral:siRNA from 1 species